CCUUGAACUUGCUAAGGAGCCCCAGUUGGCGAUCCUGCCUCCUGAGCACUGAGAUCACAGGUAUGCAUCCCCUAAGGUUCAUUCCCAGCUAAGAUUCAUGAUCUUUAAGCUCCCUUUUCCCAGAAUAGACUGUUCCAGGCCAACAAUGCCCAGUCAGCUCCACCUUGGAAAAAGCCAGAAGUCCAGUGAUCACGGUCUCAAAAGCAACCUUAUCUCAAAGAUAAGCUUCCCACAGCCUCCUCUUACAACCCUAUAAAACCCCAUAACCUAUAAAGAGCACUAUUCUGGGCUGGGUGCCAGUGCUCUCUCCUCACGUUUUAACUCCAAUAAGACUGUCAUGUUCAAUCUGGCCAUGGCCUGUUCAGGAAAAUACGCAGUUUAACUCCAACUACAGUUCUCAGCAGACACAAAGUUUAUUUUAUUUAUUUAUUUAUUUUGGUACUGGGGAUUGAACUCAGGACUUGCACUUGCGAGGCAGGUGGUGAAACUGCAGGAACCAAAUUUGCUGAUCAAGAUACAAAAAUCACAGCCCUUAGCAGAACAUGCUGUUCCCCAGUGCUCAGAAGCCAGAAUAUAAACCAUGCUGUCUCCAGGCAGAUACAACACAGAAUGGAAUGUUACAAGGAGAGAAACCACAAAGUACAGCACAGCACAGUGCAGCACUGCCCUGGCACCAAGGUUCCUGAUCACAUGCAUGAAAGCCUCUGCCUCAACUGCUGUGUGAACUCGGACCACCAAUAUUUGCUCUGACCCCAGUAUGUGACAGACCCCUUCCCUGUAUGUGACAGCCCCCUGCCUUUUCUUUGUUUGGCACUGGAGCCUUUGUUGCCUGCAGUUGGCCUGCACCCGG
rnacentral:lncRNA from 1 species